AGAUUGAACGCUGGCGGCAUGCCUUACACAUGCAAGUCGAACGGCAGCACGGGAGCAAUCCUGGUGGCGAGUGGCGAACGGGUGAGUAAUACAUCGGAACGUGCCCAAUCGUGGGGGAUAACGCAGCGAAAGCUGUGCUAAUACCGCAUAAGAUCUACGGAUGAAAGCAGGGGAUCGCAAGACCUUGCGCGAAUGGAGCGGCCGAUGGCAGAUUAGGUAGUUGGUGAGGUAAAGGCUCACCAAGCCUUCGAUCUGUAGCUGGUCUGAGAGGACGACCAGCCACACUGGGACUGAGACACGGCCCAGACUCCUACGGGAGGCAGCAGUGGGGAAUUUUGGACAAUGGGCGAAAGCCUGAUCCAGCCAUGCCGCGUGCAGGAUGAAGGCCGUUGGUUGUAACGUGUCUUUGUACGGAACGAACGGUCCUAGGUAACUACCGUGGGACUAAGUGACGGUACGUAAGAAUAAG
rnacentral:rRNA from 1 species